UGCGGGGUGGAGCAGUCUGGUAGCUCGUCGGGCUCAUAACCCGAAGGUCACAGGGUCAAAUCCUGUCCCCGCAACCA
rnacentral:tRNA from 1 species